AAUUACUAGAUGUGAAGGUAAGCCAGAUAUAAUUCAAAAUCUCUAUCUGAUUCACCUUAACAACCUAAUAGUAAUUUUGUUUUCUUGCUAAGAAAAUAUUUUAUGACCCACUCUGAAAUGAUAAUUACCCUUCAUCUCCAUCACAAGGAACAGUGUAGCUUUACAAAUCAUCUAAUUGUAAUAAGUGGUAGUGAUAAACUAUUAAAAAAACGUUUAAUCUAUACCCUUACUACAAUCAAAUGAAUGUAAGUGACUUGAGUUAGUAUCUCUUUCCUGUUUUAUAUUUUAAUCAACCAGCAAUGAUUCACAAAAGAGUUUGCCUGACAAUAAAGAGAAACAAAAGGCGUAUUGUAGGAAUUUAAAACUACCAAAAAGACGCUUCUUAUCUCUCCUCAUCAUCAGGUAGGAAAAGUAUUUUGAAAUUAUUUAAAAAAUAAAUACAGAAAACUCACCUACUUUCCAGUAAACUUUCAUAGCAGAAGUUCUAGGCUCAACCUCCAACUUUCUGUUUUACAGUUUGCAUUUCUGUUUUCCUGAUUUUCACUGCUACACAUUCCUUAAAAUAAAAUGUGGUAAGUUCAGUUGGUACACCAAUAAACUUUUCAUAAGGUACCUUUUUCUAUUGGGCUGCAAAAAUUGGUGCAAAGUCGUCACAAACCCAACUAUACGAGUCAAAAUUUGAUAAUGCCAGGAAAUCAGUCACGUAACAAAAUCUGAGAAUAAUCGGGUGAUAAUAUUUAAGGAUCACCAUUAAGAUGUUUCGGCAUUUCUUGACUCUGCAACAAGUCCUGACGUACUCUCAAAAACCACGAAAGUCUAAACUGUCAUUGAACAUGAUUUUUGUAUUUCUAUCCCACUAGAAAAAAACAUGUUCACCUUGAUAUUCUUCCAACGAAUCUAGAAGUAUGGUUCCUAUCAAUAAAGAGAGAAAUAAGAGAAUAAUAAUUCAAAAUCUCUAUCUGAUUCACCUUAACAACCUAAUAGUAAUUUUGUUUUCUUGCUAAGAAAAUAUUUUAUAAACCACUCUGAAACCAUAAUUACCCUUCAUCUCCAUCGCAAGGAACAGUGUAGCUUCACAAAUCAUCUAAUUGUAAUAAGUGGUAGUGAUAAACUAUUAAAAGAACGUUUAAUCUAUACUCUUACUACAAUCAAAUGAAUGUGACUUGAGUUAGCACCUCCUUCCUGUUUUAUGUUUUAAUCAACCAGCAACAAAUCCUCAAAAGAGUUUGCCUGACAAUAAAGAGAAACAAAAGGCGUAUUGUAGGAAUUCAAAACUACCAAAAAGACGCUUCUUAUCUCUCUUCAUCAUCAGGUAUGAAAUAUUUUCCAGUAAUGGGGAAAGAUUCACAUAGGAUUCCUCGAAAGAAUUUUCCUCACAAUAAAGAGAGACAAAAGGCGCCUUAUAGGAAUUCAAAACUACCAAAAACACGCUUCUUAUCUCUCUUCAUCAUAAGGUAGGAAAUAUUUUCCAGUAAAUAUUCUGAAAUGCAAUUAUUUCAAAAGUAAUUACAGAAACUCACCUACUUUCCAGUAAACUUUCAUAGUAGAGGUUCUACGCAAUAAGCUCUAACUUUCUAUCUUACAGUUUGCAUUUCUGUUUCACUGAUAUUUGCUGCUUCAGAUUCCUUAAAAUAAAAUGUGCUAAGUUCAGUUGGUACACCAAUAAACCUUUCAUAAAGUACCUUUUUUAUUAGACUGCAAAAAGUGAUCCACAGUCGUCACAAAUCCAAGUAUACGAGUCAAAAUUUGAUAAUGCCAGGAAAUCAGUCACGUAAUAAAACCCCGAGGAUUUUAAGAUCACCAUAGGUUCCAUCAUAAUCUCUUUAAGAUGUUUUGACAAUUCUUAAAUUUGCAAGGAGUCCUGAUGUGGUUCCCAAAACCGCGAAUGUCUAAAUUGCCAAUAAACGCGAUUUUUGCAUCUCCAUUCCAUUAGAAAAGAAAUAUUUAGUAGUAUUGAUUAUCUUCCAACAAACGUCGAAGUAUAGUUCCUAAAAAUAAAAAAAAGGCCGAAAAGAAAGUUAGAGCUACCUUAGAUCAAUCUUCUUAUCUCUCUUUAUCUUUAGACAAUAAAAUACUUUCGAGUAAAAAUUCUAAAAAAAAAUUAGUUGUUUAUUUCAUAAAAGAGUACUCAGAUCACUCAUUUCCAAAAAUAAGGAGAGGUAUGAGGCGUGGCUUAGGAAUUCUAAGCUACCAUAAAGCAUGCUUCUUACCUCUCCUCAUCUUCAGCUCUGACUGCCAUCUGUACUCUUAAAAGAAAUUAUUAUUGAAAUACAAAUAACCAAUAGUUUCCAGUUAAUAAUCUAAAAGCAUAUUCAUCCCCCUUCAUUACACAAAGUCUAGGAUAGAAAAUGAUACCCUUUGUCAAAAAUACUCUACCGGUAUCCUUGUAUUGAUCCCCCUUCGUUCACCGACGGGUCUAGAAGACUUUCUGAAAAUAAAGAGAGAUGGGGGGUGAACUCAGAAAUUUAAAGCUACCCGAGAUCAAGCUCCUCACCUCUCCUCAUCUUCAGGUAGGGGGCUUCUAAGCGCCUCCAAGCAUACUGGAAAGGAAUUAUUAUUGAAAUACAAAUAAAAACUUAUGUAUUUUCUAGUAAAUUGAAGAGUAGAGGUAUUACAAACUAUGCUAAUUUCAAUCCUGUAAAAUAAAUGGUGAGAUCAGAAUAAUCGGGAAUGAAUGCGUCCAUUACACCGAUAUACUUUCAGCUACUGUUGUCUCUCCAAUAAGUUGAUAUGAUGUUGUUAUCCAAAAAUAAGAAGAAGCAAAAAACUCACAAAGGAAAUUCUGAACUACCUUUGAGCGAGAUUUUUACCUCUUCAUAUCUUAGAUAUUUUCCAGUUUCAAAAACACUAUACCGGUAUUCUUGUAUUGAUCCCCCUUCAUUCACCGGCGAGUCUAGAAGAUUUCUAAAAAUAAAGAGAGAUAAGUAGCGUGAAUUAGGAAUCUAAAAUACCUGAAUUCAAGCUUCUUAUCUCUCCUCGUCUUUAGGUAGAAAUUCUGAUCUGGACCUAAAGAGUUUCAACAAAUAUCCUGAAAGGAAAUUUAAAAAAUUCUGGAAAGAAAUUAUUAUUGAAAUACAUAACCAAUAUAUUUAUCUCUUCAUAUCUUUAGAAAAUACAUUUUCCAAUUAAUAAUCUUAAAAAUAUUAUUCUUGUUCAAAAAGACUAUACCGGUAUCCUUGUAUUGAUCACUCUUCAUUAAGCGACGAGUCCAGAAGAGCUUCUGAAAAUAAAGAAAAAUAAAAAGCCUCACUUAGGAAUCUAGAACUACCUAAAGUAAAGGCUUCUUAUCUUUCCUCAUCUUCAGGUAGGGGUUCGAGUGCAAUUAAGUAUUCUGGAAAGAAAUUUUUAUUUAAAUACAAAUAAAUACUCACGCUCUUUCUAGUAAACUGAGUAGCAGAGGGGUUUUAUGUCAUAAGUUCCUUCUUUCUACGGCAUCCCUCCUAUGCUAACUUAAUAAUUGCUAACUGGAACUACUAUAUAAUAUUAGAGACACACUUUUGAAUAAUUACGUAAUUAAAACCCAAUGGUGAAGUCUCAGAAUAAUCGAGAGUUAAUGCAUCCACUCAAAUAACCGAUUUACUUUGAGCUAUUUCAGUCACUCUUGCAUUUGCAAUGAGUUAUGAUGUUUGGUUAUCCAAAAAUAAAAAGAAACAAAAAACGCACAAAGGAAAUUCUAAACUACCCUUGAGCAAGAUUUUUAUCUCUUCAUAUCUUUAGAGAAUACAUAUUUUGCAGUUAAUAAUCUGAAAGAAAAAUAUUAUUCUUGUUCAAAAAUACUAUACCGGUAUCCUUGUAUUGAUUACUCUUUAUUAAGCGACGAGUCCAGAAGAGUUUCUAAAAAUAAAGAGAGAUAAAAAGCGUUAAUCAGGAAUCUAAAACUACCUGAGAUUAAGCUUCUUAUCUCUCCUCAUCUUCAGGUAGUUGUUCGGAUCUGAACUUUUUAAAGAGCUCUGAGAUUGAGGAAAUAUUCUGAAAGAAAAUUAUAGGUGAAAUAAAUAUAAAAACUCACCGUCUUUUGCAAGAAACUCUCAUAGGGAAAGAGUUGUUUGCCACAGGAACCACCUUUUCAGUUUACUAGUUAUUACUGUUAUGGAUUCCUCGAAAUAAAUUGAACGUGGCAUAGAAUACAUAACUUCUCAAUGUGGCGUAAAAAUUAACUCUCAUAGCGAUUUAACGAAUAUAGCAGCAUGUUUUCCAAAAAUAAAAGAAGAAGAGAAACCCGAAGAAGAAUUCAAAACUGCCUUUCAUCGGGAUUCUCUUCUUCCUUCAUUUCUAGACAAUGACACAUUAUCUAGUAUUCUAAAAAAGAAAUUAAUUAUUUCAAGUAUAAAAGAAUCUCUAGAUCACUUGUUCUUGAUCCGUCUUGAAACUGCGACGAAUUGCAAAGCAUGAUUUACCAAAAAUAAGGAAACACCAUAAAACACGCCCUUCAGUUUCCUCAUCUUCAGUUAAUAAAGUAAUUCUAAGUGGCACUAAGUAUUCUGGAAAAGAAAUUAUUACUGAAAUACAUAACCAAUAUUUUAUUCUCUUCAUAUCUUCAGAAAAUAAAUAUUUUUCAGUUAUUAAUAUAAAAGAAAAAUUAAAGAACCUAAACAGGUAUCUUUUUUUGAUCCCCCUUUAAUAAGCAACAAAUCUAGAAGAAUUUCUAAAAAUAAAAAAAGAUAAGGGGCGUAAUCUUGCAAUCGAGAGCUACCUAAGGCCAAGCUUCUUAUCCCUCUUCAUCUUCAGGUAAGGGUUCUGUUCUGAACCUAAAGAGAGCUCAGAGUUUCAGUAAAUAUUCUUAGGGAAAAUUACAAAUAAAAGACAUCUAGAGACUUACUUCUUUCCCAAAAGGGAAACUGCUAAGUUGAAUUGAUAGCUAAAUGAACUGAGGUCUCUGUAUUGAUCCAUCCUUCCACCAAAAAAUUAAGAGAGACUGAAAGGGUUAUCAAGGGUUUCAAAAACUACUGAAAGUUAAUUAAGCUUUUAAGGUAUGAGUUUCUAAAAAGAGAGACUCUAAAGAAGCCGCAGGAGAAAUUUAGGAGUACCUUUAGAUUUAAUGUUGCCUAAAUAAAUUUUACCAUAGUAUAUUAAAUAAACAACAGUAGCUCACCUAAGUAACUUAACAUUAUAUAGGGUGUUUCAGAACUAUGGGAUCAAACUUCUGGGGGUUGUUCAGUGCAACAGAAGAAUCCAUUUGAGUAUAGGAACCCAUGGCCGGAAAUGCGUCACCAUGCCACUACGGCCCUAAGACGCGUUAAAAUUUAUAAAAAAACAUUAAUUACCUAAAUAGGAUCUGCUGCAUUUAUUUUUACCUUUUGUACAUGAUACCAUAACAACAAUUGUUUAAAAUCAACGCUUAUCAAUGUCAAUUCGCAAUGUCAUGUUUAAAAAUUUUAUAGCUUACAAUUUUUAAACAUUUAUUGCUAAUGGAAAACUUUACCAAUCAAGAAUUGGCGGAUAUGAAUUUGGCAUACGGAGCAACAAACUGCAAUGCACGAGCAGCAUCACGGUUGUAUCAUGAACGUUAUCCCGAACGACAGCAUCCUGGAUACAAAAAGUUUAUUGCAGGCAUGUUUAAGAUCAAGAUGCAUGGAUACUGGUGUUGCUCGAACCGUAAAAACGGUCGAAUUUGAAGAAGAGGUGCUUCAGCGAGUUGCCGAUGAACCAUCAAAUAGCACACGUGACGUUGCUAAUAAUAUGAAUACGAGUAACGCUUCUGUCUGGCGGGUACUACACGAGAAACAACUCCAUCCUUACCACUUCCAGAAAGUUCAAGGUAUAACUGCAGCCGAUUAUCAUCCUAGAGUUCAAUUUUGUCGAUAGCUUCUGGAUCACAUCAUUGCACAACCAAAUUUUUUACGAUAUGUUUUGUGGACCGAUAAAGCCUCUUUCACAAGAGACGGUAUUUUUAAUAGUAGGAAUAGCCAUGUUUGGGACGAAGAAAAUCCUUAUGCAAUUUUUUCCAAGAAAACAUCAGAAUCGUUGGUCUGUCGACGUAUGGGCAGGCAUUCUUGAUGAUUAUUUAAUUAGGCCAUACCUUCUUCCGGAACGGUUAACAGGGCCUAUUUAUCUGCGUUUCUUGGAGGAAGUUCUCCCAGAACUCCUUGAAAAUGUUCCACUAAACGUUAGACAGCAAAUGUGGUGUCAGCAUGCUGGAGGGCCGGCUCACUUUGCUGUGCAAGUACGCGAGUAUUUGGUUCAGCGGUUUGGGCACCGUUGGAUUGCCAGAGGUGGAGCAGAUUCUUGGCCUCCUAGGUCACCCGAUUUAACGUCGCUCGAUUUUUUCUUGUGGGGACAUGUAAAGUCUUUAGUCUACGAAACUCCAGUAGAAUCAGACCUAGACUUAAUUGAACCAAUAACAGCAGCAUUUGAAGUAAUUCAAAACGAUGAUCAACUUUUUAGUGUAGUCCGCCGAAAUCAUGUGCGGCGUUUAAAUCGGUGUAUUGAGGUUGGAAGAAGACAUUUUGAACAAUUGUUGUGAUGGUAUCAUAUACAAAAGGUAAAGAUAAAUGCAUCAGAUCCUAUUUAGGUAAUUAAUAUUUUUUCUAAAUUUAAACUCGUCUUAGGGCCGUAGUGGCGUAGUGACACAUUUCCAGAAAUGGGUUCCUAUACUCAAAUGGAUUCUACUGUUGCACUGAACAACCCCUAGAAGUUUGAUCCCAUAGUUCUGAAACACCCUGUAUUAUAUGUUAUACUUGAACUGUAACUCACACUUUUAUAAGGUAAAAUGUUUGAUUUGAACCUGGGUAAAUCUACUUCGAACCGAGUUUAUUCCAAAAGAAUUCAGUAUUUUUAGACAAAAAUUCCCUUUAUAUAAGCCCUUCAAAGUUUCUGCAGUUAUGGGACCGUCCUGCAUACAAAAUAUUGUCAGCAUAUGUUAUAGCAGGAAUAUGUAAGUUGUAUUUUAGAAUAUAAUUUGGUGUUUUAGCUGGUGUAGCAGAUUUCGCUAGUGUACAUAUACAGAAGAACAAAGCAACUUUUUUUGGCAUUUUAAUACUCGUUUUCACCCUAAUAAUGUUGGCAUAUAAAAUUAUUUGCAUCAGUGUAUACCUACUAACAUUUAUCAUAAAAAAAACUAAACUAACCAUCUAAGCAAAUAUUAGAAUAGGAAAUAGUAUUUAAGUAUUACAUGUCAAACCCACGUGAUGUGGUUUCUCUUAACUUAUGUGAUUACAAGCUGAAAGUGUGUAUAAGUUUAAGAUCUAAUCUUAAAUAAAAAAUAAUAAUAUAGGAAAAAGACUAUCUUGUUCGAUUGUUAUGUAACAUAAACACUUUUCCAUCAUUAAGAAUAUUAAUUCCAUAAUAUACAUGUAAAAAAAACUGACAAUCUGUUUUGUCAUUGAUAGUAAAAGUUAGCAUUCUAACGUUUGAAGUAUGGCGUUUACUUUACAAUUUACAUAUAAAAUGACCGCCAUAUUCCAAAGCAACAUUUUAGUAGCGCCGUUUUGUAUCGUAUCCCAAGCUGUUGUACAAUUUUACUACAAUGGAUUGUAAGUUUGUUAAAAGAUUUCAAUUAAACUUUGAAAAAUUAUGUGUUA
rnacentral:lncRNA from 1 species